UACGAAGGGGGCUAGCGUUGCUCGGAAUCACUGGGCGUAAAGGGUGCGUAGGCGGGUCUUUUAAGUCAGGGGUGAAAUCCUGGAGCUCAACUCCAGAACUGCCUUUGAUACUGAGGAUCUUGAGUUCGGGAGAGGUGAGUGGAACUGCGAGUGUAGAGGUGAAAUUCGUAGAUAUUCGCAAGAACACCAGUGGCGAAGGCGGCUCACUGGCCCGAUACUGACGCUGAGGCACGAAAAGCGUGGGGAGCAAACAGGG
rnacentral:rRNA from 1 species